rnacentral:rRNA from 1 species
CAUCGACGCCGCGUGAGGGAUGAAGGUCUUCGGAUUGUAAACCUCUUUCAGUAGGGAAGAAGCGAAAGUGACGGUACCUAAAGAAGAAGCACCGGCUAACUAUGUGCCAGCAGCCGCGGUAAUACAUAGGGUGCAAGCGUUGUCCGGAAUUAUUGGGCGUAAAGAGCUCGUAGGUCGUUUGUCGCGUCGAUUGUGAAAAUCUGAGGCUCAACCUCAGACCUGCAGUCGAUACGGGCAAACUAGAGUGUGGUAGGGGAGACUGGAAUUCCUGGUGUAGCGGUGGAAUGCGCAGAUAUCAGGAGGAACACCAAUGGCGAAGGCAGGUCUCUGGGCCAUAACUGACACUGAGGAGCGAAAGUGCGGGGAGCGAACAGGAUUAGAUACCCUGGUAGUCCGCACCGUAAACGGUGGGCACUAGUUGUGGGAACCUUCCACGGUUUCCGCGACGCAGCAAACGCAUUAAGUGCCCCGCCUGGGGAGUACGAUCGCAAGAUUAAAACUCAAAGGAAUUGACGGGGCCCCGAACAAGCAGCGGAGCAUGCGGCUUAAUUCGACGCAAAGGCGAAGAAGCUUUAACAAGGGCUUGACAUAUAG